rnacentral:rRNA from 1 species
UACGUAGGGUGCAAGCGUUAAUCGGAAUUACUGGGCGUAAAGCGUGCGCAGGCGGUGAUGUAAGACAGGUGUGAAAUCCCCGGGCUUAACCUGGGAACUGCAUUUGUGACUGCAUCGCUGGAGUGCGGCAGAGGGGGGAUGGAAUUCCGCGUGUAGCAGUGAAAUGCGUAGAGAUGUGGAGGAACACCGAUGGCGAAGGCAGCCCCCUGGGCUGAGAUUGACGCUCAGGCACGAAAGCGUGGGGAGCAAACAGG